GGCUUUGUGCAGUGGCAUUAUUGUACCCAAUGAGGUUAAUCCGAGGUGCAAUUACUGCGAAUUGAAAACUAGGCACACAGUCAUUGUGGGUUUCUAUAUAAGAUUCCUUUUAAAAG
rnacentral:snRNA from 1 species